UAGGGAAUCUUCCACAAUGGGCGCAAGCCUGAUGGAGCAACACCGCGUGAGUGAAGAAGGGUUUCGGCUCGUAAAGCUCUGUUGUUAAAGAAGAACACGUAUGAGAGUAACUGUUCAUACGUUGACGGUAUUUAACCAGAAAGCCACGGCUAACUACGUGCCAC
rnacentral:rRNA from 1 species